CAUCGCCUCUUGUCCACUAUAUAUAAGAGGUCCCGCCUGCCCUGUGACUUUACGUUUAACGGCCGCGGUAUUUUGACCGUGCAAAGGUAGCGCAAUCACUUGUCUUUUAAAUGGAGACCUGUAUGAAUGGCAUAACGAGGGCUUAACUGUCUCCUUCCUCCAGUCGAUGAAAUUGAUCUCCCCGUGCAGAAGCGGGGCUACACACAUAAGACGAGAAGACCCUGUGGAGCUUUAGACCCGGGGUAAGACCAUGUCAAGAAUAUCGGAUAAACGACUUGAACCAAUUGGACCCUUCCCUAAUGUCUUUGGUUGGGGCGACCGCGGGGAAACAAAAAACCCCCAUGUGGAAUGGAAACACCUCAUUUUCCAGAACCAAGAGCCACAGCUCUAAGCAACAGAAAAUCUGACCUAUAAGAUCCGGCAAAGCCGAUCAACGGACCCAGUUACCCCAGGGAUAACAGCGCAAUCCUCUUUUAGAGCCCAUAUCGACAAGGGGGUUUACGACCUCGAUGUUGGAUCAGGACAUCCUAAUGGUGCAGCCGCUAUUAAGGGUUCGUUUGUUCAACGAUUAAAGUCCUACGUGA
rnacentral:rRNA from 1 species